rnacentral:rRNA from 1 species
GAGUUUGAUCCUGGCUCAGGAUGAGGCUAUAUAGUCGUGGUAUGCUGGUCCCGCCACGGAUAAGGAGCUUGCUCCUUUGACGUUAGCGGCGGACGGGUGAGUAACACGUGGAUAACCUACCUAUAAAACUGGGAUAACUUCGGGAAACCGGCAGCUAAUACCGGAUAACAUAUUGAACCGCAUGGUUCAUUAGUGAAAGGCGGCUUUGCUGUCACUUAUAUAUGGAUCCGCGCCCGUAUUAGCUAGUUGGUAAGGUAACGGCUUACCAAGGCAACGAUACGUAGCCGACCUGAGAGGGUGAUCGGCCACACUGGAACUGAGACACGGUCCACACUCCUACGGGAGGCAGCAGUAGGGAAUCUUCCGCAAUGGGCGAAAGCCUGACGGAGCAACGCCGCGUGAGUGAUGAAGGUCUUCGGAUCGUAAAACUCUGUUAUCAGGGAAGAACAAAUGUGUAAGUAACUGUGCACAUCUUGACGGUACCUGAUCAUAAAGCCACGGCUAACUACGUGCCAGCAGCCACGGUAAUACGUACGUGGCAAGCGUUAUCCGGAAUUAUUGGGCGUAAAGCGCGCGUAGGCGGUUUUUUAAGUCUGAUGUGAAAGCCCACGGCUCAACCGUGCAGGGUCAUUGGAAACUGGAAAACUUGAGUGCACAAUAGGAAAGUGGAAUUCCAUGUGUAGCGGUGAAAUGCGCAUACAUAUGGAGGAACACCAGUGGCGAAGGCGACUUUCUGGUCUGUAACUGACGCUUAUGUGCGAAAGCGUGAGGAUCAAACAGGAUUAGAUACCCUGGUACUCCACGCCGUAUACGAUGAGUGCUAAGUGUUAGGGGGUUUCCGCCCCUUAGUGCUGCAGCUAACGCAUUAAGCACUCCGCCUGGGGAGUACGACCGCAAGGUUGAAACUCAAAGGAAUUGACGGGGACCCGCACAAGCGGUGGAGCAUGUGGUUUAAUUCGAAGCAACGCGAAGAACCUUACCAAAUCUUGACAUCCUUUGACCGCUCUAGAGAUAGAGUCUUCCCCUUCGGGGGACAAAGUGACAGGUGGUGCAUGGUUGUCGUCAGCUCGUGUCGUGAGAUGUUGGGUUAAGUCCCGCAACGAGCGCAACCCUUAAGCUUAGUUGCCAUCAUUAAGUUGGGCACUCUAAGUUGACUGCCGGUGACAAACCGGAGGAAGGUGGGGAUGACGUCAAAUCAUCAUGCCCCUUAUGAUUUGGGCUACACACGUGCUACAAUGGACAAUACAAAGGGCAGCUAAACCGCGAGGUCAAGCAAAUCCCAUAAAGUUGUUCUCAGUUCGGAUUGUAGUCUGCAACUCGACUACAUGAAGCUGGAAUCGCUAGUAAUCGUAGAUCAGCAUGCUACGGUGAAUACGUUCCCGGGUCUUGUACACACCGCCCGUCUAAUCGUAGAUCAGCAUGCUACGGUGAAUACGUUCCCGGGUCUUGUACACACCGCCCGUCACACCACGAGAGUUUGUAACACCCGAAGCCGGUGGAGUAACCAUUUAUGGAGCUAGCCGUCGAAGGUGGGACAAAUGAUUGGGGUGAAGUCGUAACAAGGUAGCCG